AGCUGUGAUGUGCACUGCUUUCUUCUGACACCUCUUGUAUGAGCAGGGACUUUGUUCCCUCCGUUGAGCAGAUUCAGCAACUCUCUGAGCU
rnacentral:snoRNA from 7 species